rnacentral:rRNA from 1 species
UACGUAGGUGGCAAGCGUUGUCCGGAAUCACUGGGCGUAAAGCGCGCGCAGGCGGCGAUCUACGUCUGGGGUGAAAGCCCGGAGCUCAACUCCGGGACUGCCUUGGAUACGGGAUCGCUUGAGGAUUGGAGAGGCAAGGGGAAUUCCACGUGUAGCGGUGAAAUGCGUAGAUAUGUGGAGGAACACCUGUGGCGAAGGCGCCUUGGCUGGCCAAUUUCUGACGCUGGAGGCGCGAAAGCGUGGGGAGCAAACAGG